rnacentral:rRNA from 1 species
UAGGGAAUCUUCCACAAUGGGCGAAAGCCUGAUGGAGCAACGCCGCGUGUGUGAUGAAGGGUUUCGGCUCGUAAAACACUGUUGUAAGAGAAGAAUGACNUUGAGAGUAACUGUUCAAUGUGUGACGGUAUCUUACCAGAAAGGAACGGCUAAAUACGUGCCAC